rnacentral:pre_miRNA from 1 species
AAUAAGUACAAUUUUGUACUGUUUAUGUCUAACAUUUGACCGUUCGUCUUAUUUGAAUUUUUUUGAUUAGUAUUUUUAUUGUUAUUAGAUGAUAAAAUAUGAAUAAUACUUUAUGUGUGACUAAUUUUUUUAUAAAUUUUUUGAAUAACAUGGACGGUCAAACACACUUAUUUUGGGAUGGAGGUAAU